rnacentral:rRNA from 1 species
GAUGAACGCUGGCGGCGUGCUUAACACAUGCAAGUCGAACGAAGCACUUUAUUUGAUUUCCUUCGGGACUGAUUAUUUUGUGACUGAGUGGCGGACGGGUGAGUAACGCGUGGGUAACCUGCCUUGUACAGGGGGAUAACAGUUGGAAACGGCUGCUAAUACCGCAUAAGCGCACGGCAUCGCAUGAUGCUGUGUGAAAAACUCCGGUGGUAUAAGAUGGACCCGCGUUGGAUUAGCUAGUUGGUGAGGUAACGGCCCACCAAGGCGACGAUCCAUAGCCGACCUGAGAGGGUGCCCGGCCACAUUGGGACUGAGACACGGCCCAAACUCCUACGGGAGGCAGCAGUGGGGAAUAUUGCACAAUGGGCGAAAGCCUGAUGCAGCGACGCCGCGUGAGCGAAGAAGUAUUUCGGUAUGUAAAGCUCUAUCAGCAGGGAAGAUAAUGACGGUACCUGACGAAGAAGCACCGGCUAAAUACGUG